rnacentral:rRNA from 2 species
CGGCAAUUGGAGGAAACUUUGACCGAGCAACGCCGCGUGAACGACGAAGUACUUUGGUAUGUAAAGUUCUUUUAUCAAGGAAGAAAAGCAAGUGGCGAACCAUUUGUUUGCCGGUACUUGAUGAAUAAGCCCCGGCUAAUUAUGUGCCAGCAGCCGCGGUAAGACAUAAGGGGCAAGUGUUAUCCGGAAUUAUUGGGCGUAAAGGGUGCGUAGGCGGUCUAGUAAGUCAGUGGUGUAAUGGCAACGCUCAACGUUGUCCGGCUAUUGAAACUGCUAAACUUGAGUUAGAUAGAGGCGAGUGGAAUUCCAUGUGUAGCGGUAAAAUGCGUAAAUAUAUGGAGGAACACCAGAGGCGUAGGCGGCUCGCUGGGUCUUAACUGACGCUGAGGCACGAAAGCGUGGGGAGCAAACAGGAUUAGAUACCCUGGUAGUCCACGCCGUAAGCGAUGAGUACUAAGUGUCGGGUUAAACCGGUACUGAAGUUAACACAUUAAGUACUCCGCCUGAGUAGUACUCGGCAAUGGAUGAAACUUAAAGGAAUUGACGGGACUCCGCACAAGCGGUGGAUCAUGUUGUUUAAUUCGAAGAUACCCGAAAAACCUUACCAGGUCUUGACAUGUUUUUGCGAAACGGUAGUAAUAUCGUAGAGGUUAUCAGAAACACAGGUGGUGCAUGGUUGUCGUCAGCUCGUGUCGUGAGAUGUUAGGUUAAGUCCUAAAACGAGCGAAACCCUUAUCGUUAGUUGCCAGCACGUUAUGGUGGGGACUUUAACGAGACUGCCAGUGAUAAACUGGAGGAAGGUGAGGAUCACGUCAAAUCAGCAUGCCCCUUAUGACCUGGGCUACAAACGUGAUACAAUGGC